CGGACGGGUGAGUAAUGUCUGGGAAACUGCCCGAUGGAGGGGGAUAACUACUGGAAACGGUAGCUAAUACCGCAUAACGUCGCAAGACCAAAGAGGGGGACCUUCGGGCCUCUUGCCAUCGGAUGUGCCCAUAUGGGAUUAGCUUGUAGGUAAGGUAACGGCUUACCUAGGCGACGAUCCCUAGCUGGUCUGAGAGGAUGAUCAGCCACACUGGGACUGAGACACGGCCCAG
rnacentral:rRNA from 1 species